rnacentral:rRNA from 1 species
UGACUGAGUGGCGGACGGGUGAGUAACGCGUGGGUAACCUGCCCUGUACAGGGGGACAACAGUUAGAAAUGACUGCUAAUACCGCAUAAGCGCACAGGACCGCAUGGCCCGGCGUGAAAAACUCCGGUGGUACAGGAUGGACCCGCGUCUGAUUAGGUAGUUGGCGGGGUAACGGCCCACCAAGCCGACGAUCAGUAGCCGACCUGAGAGGGUGACCGGCCACAUUGGGACUGAGACACGGCCCAAACUCCUACGGAAGGCAGCAG